ACAUCUGUAACUCAGUUGGUUAGAGUACCUGCCUUAUAUGCAGAGAGCCGAAGGUUCAAGUCCUUCCAGAUGUACAA
rnacentral:tRNA from 1 species